rnacentral:rRNA from 1 species
UACGUAGGGGGCAAGCGUUGUCCGGAUUUAUUGGGCGUAAAGAGCGUGUAGGCGGCCAUGUAGGUCCGUUGUGAAAACUCGAGGCUCAACCUCCGAGACGCCGAUGGAAACCAUGUGGCUAGAGUCCGGAAGAGGAGAGUGGAAUUCCUGGUGUAGCGGUGAAAUGCGCAGAUAUCAGGAAGAACACCCGUGGCUAAGGCGGCUCUCUAGUACGGUACUGACGCUGAGACGCGAAAGCGUGGGGAGCGAACAGG